rnacentral:rRNA from 1 species
GACAGAGGGUGCAAACGUUGCUCGGAAUUACUGGGCGUAAAGCGCGUGUAGGCGGGCUGAUAAGUCGGACGUGAAAGCCCUGGGCUCAACCCAGGAACUGCAUCCGAAACUGUCAGUCUGGAGUGGUGGAGAGGGAAGCAGAAUUCCUGGUGUAGAGGUGAAAUUCGUAGAUAUCAGGAGGAACACCGGUGGCGAAGGCGGCUUCCUGGACACUAACUGACGCUGAGACGCGAAAGCGUGGGGAGCGAACAGG